UCCCGUGUGGCUCAGUUGGUAGAGCAUGGUAUUAGCAACGCUCGGGUUGUGGGUUCGAUUCCCACAGGGGAC
rnacentral:tRNA from 1 species